rnacentral:rRNA from 1 species
UGUGACACUGUUGCGGGCUGUGCUGGGAUACAGGGGUCGCAAGCGGUGAUCGGGUGCAGUGGGCGUAAAGGGUGCAGAGGGGGUCAGGUAAGUCGGAUGUGAAAUGUCGGAGCUCAACUCCGAAACGGCAUUGGAAACUACCUGGCUCGAGGAAUGGAGGGGGGACUGGAAUUCUCGGUGUAGCAGUGAAAUGCGUAGAUAUCGAGAGGAACACCAGUGGCGAAGGCGAGUCCCUGGACAUCUCCUGACACUGAGGCACGAAAGCUAGGGGAGCAAACAGGAUUAGAUACCCUAGUAGUC